AACGAACGCUGGCGGCGUGCCUAACACAUGCAAGUCGAACGGAUCCUUCGGGACUAGUGGCGGACGGGUGAGUAACACGUGGGAACGUGCCCUUUGGUUCGGAACAACUCAGGGAAACUUGAGCUAAUACCGGAUGUGCCCUUCGGGGAAAGAUUUAUCGCCAUUGGAGCGGCCCGCGUCUGAUUAGCUAGUUGGUGAGGUAAAGGCUCACCAAGGCGACGAUCAGUAGCUGGUCUGAGAGGAUGAUCAGCCACACUGGCACUGAGAUACGGGCCAGACUCCUACGGGAGGCAGCAGUAGGGAAUAUUGGCAAUGGAUGCAAGUCU
rnacentral:rRNA from 1 species